AUGGAUAACCGUGGUAAUUCUAGAGCUAAUACAUGCUGGAAACCCCAACUUCGGGAGGGGUGUAUUUAUUAGAUAAAAAACCAACGCCCUUCGGGGCUUCUUGGUGAUUCAUAAUAACUUUACGGAUCGCAUGGCCUUGCGCCGGCGACGGUUCAUUCAAAUUUCUGCCCUAUCAACUUUCGAUGGUAAGGUAUUGGCUUACCAUGGUUUCAACGGGUAACGGGGAAUUAGGGUUCGAUUCCGGAGAGGGAGCCUGAGAAACGGCUACCACAUCCAAGGAAGGCAGCAGGCGCGCAAAUUACCCAAUCCCGACACGGGGAGGUAGUGACAAUAAAUACUGAUACAGGGCUCUUUUGGGUCUUGUAAUUGGAAUGAGUACAAUUUAAACCUCUUAACGAGGAACAAUUGGAGGGCAAGUCUGGUGCCAGCAGCCGCGGUAAUUCCAGCUCCAAUAGCGUAUAUUAAAGUUGUUGCAGUUAAAAAGCUCGUAGUUGAAACUUGGGUCUGGCUGGCAGGUCCGCCUCACCGCGUGUACUUGUCCGGCCGGGCCUUCCUUCUGGAGAACCUCAUGCCCUUCACUGGGCGUGUUGGGGACCAGGACUUUUACUUUGAAAAAAUUAGAGUGUUCAAAGCAGGCCUUUGCUCGAAUACGUUAGCAUGGAAUAAUAGAAUAGGACGUGCGGUCCUAUUUUGUUGGUUUCUAGGACCGCCGUAAUGAUUAAUAGGGACAGUCGGGGGCAUCAGUAUUCAAUUGUCAGAGGUGAAAUUCUUGGAUUUAUUGAAGACUAACUACUGCGAAAGCAUUUGCCAAGGAUGUUUUCAUUAAUCAGUGAACGAAAGUUAGGGGAUCGAAGACGAUCAGAUACCGUCGUAGUCUUAACCGUAAACUAUGCCGACUAGGGAUCGGGCGAUGUUCUUUUUCUGACUCGCUCGGCACCUUACGAGAAAUCAAA
rnacentral:rRNA from 4 species